CUCAUUCACCAAACAAGCUCCAUGCAAGGAAGAAGCCACAACCGCAAGAUCUACUCUACAAGUUUCUCCAAACACACCAAUGAAAAAAUUAUGCUUGUGGCAAGAAAGAUGUUUUCUUGCAACCUCUACCUGCCGAUCCUUCUCAUUUCAUCAGCGGAGCGUCACCCCCCCCGUGCUCGCCCGGUGCAGCCAAGAUGAAAAUGCCAGAACAUCGCUAGGUCAACAGCAAAUAGAAAUGUAAUGCAGAACUUCACACAAAAGUGGUGUCCCUCCCCCUGGAUUGAAGGCCUUUGGGGUGGGUGAGGAAUACCUGCCCGGAUUUAGCUGGUGGAUACUUUGUGAUGACAAAUGGCUGCUGCAGACGGCGAUAAUGCGACUUCAUCUAGCGGUGGUGUCAUCACAUGCUGCCUCUCACAAAUCAACACCUGAUGAAAAACUGACACAUGCGAGUAAUCACAUAUUUGAUGAAAAGCAGAACACAUAAGCGUCUCACGAUAUUAUUUCAGUCCGCUCUUCAAAGACGUUUGAACAUUGGGGUUUUCUGUCACUUUUUUCCCCAUUUUUUGUUAAAUAUUCGCCGUUUGC